rnacentral:rRNA from 1 species
UCGGGAAUUUUGGGCAAUGGGCGAAAGCCUGACCCAGCAACGCCGCGUGGAGGAUGAAAUCCCUCGGGAUGUAAACUUCGCAAGAACGGGGAGAAUAAGCCGGUGUGAACAUCACCGGCGAUGACGGUACCGUUUGUAAGCUCCGGCUAACUCCGUGCCAGCAGCCGCGGUAAUACGGGGGGAGCAAGCGUCGUUCGGAUUUACUGGGCGUAAAGGGCGCGUAGGCGGCCACCGCAAGUCAAUUGUGAAAUCUCCGGGCUUAACUCGGAAAGGUCAACUGAUACUGCGGGGCUAGAGUGCGGAAGGGGCAACUGGAAUUCUCGGUGUAGCGGUGAAAUGCGUAGAUAUCGAGAGGAACACCUGCGGCGAAGGCGGGUUGCUGGGCCGACACUGACGCUGAGGCGCGAAAGCUAGGGGAGCGAACGGGAUUAGAUACCCCGGUAGUCCUAGCCUUAAACGAUGAAUGCUUGGUGUCGUGGGUUACAAAGUCCCGGUGCCGUCGCUAACGC